GUGAGCAAGAGCUUCCGGUGUG
rnacentral:miRNA from 1 species